rnacentral:misc_RNA from 1 species
GAUGAAGAACGUAGCAAAAUGCGAUACAUGGUGUGAAUUGCAGAAUCCCGUGAACCAUCGAGUUUUUGAACGCAAGUUGCGCCCGAAGCCUUUUGGCCGAGGGCACGUCUGCCUGGGCGUCACGCAUCGCGUCGCCCCCCACAAUUCUCCGUAAAGGGAACAUGUGUUUUGGGGGCGUAUAUUGGUCUCCCGUGCUCAUGGCGUGGUUGGCCGAAAUAGGAGUCCUUUCGAUGGACGCACGAACUAGUGGUGGUCGUAAAAACCCUCGUCUUUUGUUUCGUGCUGUUGCUCGCAAGGUAAACUCUUUAAAAACCCCAAUGUGUCGUCUCUUGACGACGCUUCGACCGCGACCCCAGGUCAGGCGGGACUACCCGCUGAGUUUAAGCAUAUCAAUAAGCGGAGGA